rnacentral:rRNA from 1 species
AUUGAACGCUGGCGGCAUGCCUUACACAUGCAAGUCGAACGGCAGCACGGGGCAACCUGGUGGCGAGUGGCGAACGGGUGAGUAAUGCAUCGGAACGUACCUUUCAGUGGGGGAUAACGUGGCGAAAGUUACGCUAAUACCGCAUAUUCUGUGAGCAGGAAAGCAGGGGAUCGCAAGACCUUGCGCUGAUUGAGCGGCCGAUGUCAGAUUAGCUAGUUGGUGAGGUAAAGGCUCACCAAGGCGACGAUCUGUAGCGGGUCUGAGAGGAUGAUCCGCCACACUGGAACUGAGCCACGGUCCAGACUCCUACGGGAGGCAGCAGUGGGGAAUUUUGGACAAUGGGGGCAACCCUGAUCCAGCCAUGCCGCGUGAGUGAAGAAGGCCUUCGGGUUGUAAAGCUCUUUCGGCCGGGAAGAAAUCGCACGGGCUAAUACCCUGUGUGGAUGACGGUACCGGAAUAAGAAGCACCGGCUAACUACGUGCCAGCAGCCGCCGUAA